UCAGGAUGAACGCUAGCUACAGGCUUAACACAUGCAAGUCAGGGCAGCAUGGCUAGCUGCUAGACUGAUGGCGACCGGCGCACGGGUGAGUAACGCGUAUCCAACCUUCCCCCUGGUAGGGCAUAGCCCGGCGAAAGUCGGAUUAAUACCCUAUGUUAUCCGAAGAGGACAUCUGAUUUGGAUCAAAGAUUUAUCGCCAUGGGAUGGGGAUGCGUCCGAUUAGGUUGACGGCGGGGUGACGGCCCACCGUGCCCGCGAUCGGUAGGGGUUCUGAGAGGAAGGUCCCCCACAUUGGAACUGAGACACGGUCCAAACUCCUACGGGAGGCAGCAGUGAGGAAUAUUGGUCAAUGGGCGUAAGCCUGAACCAGCCAAGUAGCCGUGCGGGACGACGGCCCUAUGGGUUGUAAACCGCUUUUGCAGGGGAAUAAAGUGUGGGACGUGUCCCAUUUUGCAUGUACCCUGAGAAUAAGGACCGGCUAAUUCCGUGCCAGCAGCUGC
rnacentral:rRNA from 1 species